rnacentral:rRNA from 1 species
AGAGUUUGAUCCUGGCUCAGAUUGAACGCUGGCGGGAUGCUUUACACAUGCAAGUCGGACGGCAGCACGGGCUUCGGCCUGGUGGCGAGUGGCGAACGGGUGAGUAAUGUAUCGGAACGUGCCCAGUAGCGGGGAUAACUACGCGAAAGCGUGGCUAAUACCGCAUACGCCCUACGGGGAAAGCGGGGACCUUCGGGCCUCGCACUAUUGGAGCGGCCGAUAUCGGAUUAGCUAGUUGGUGGGGUAACGGCCUACCAAGGCGACGAUCCGUAGCUGGUUUGAGAGGACGACCAGCCACACUGGGACUGAGACACGGCCCAGACUCCUACGGGAGGCAGCAGUGGGGAAUUUUGGACAAUGGGGGCAACCCUGAUCCAGCCAUCCCGCGUGUGCGAUGAAGGCCUUCGGGUUGUAAAGCACUUUUGGCAGGAAAGAAACGGCACGGGCUAAUAUCCUGUGCAACUGACGGUACCUGCAGAAUAAGCACCGGCUAACUACGUGCCAGCAGCCGCGGUAAUACGUAGGGUGCAAGCGUUAAUCGGAAUUACUGGGCGUAAAGCGUGCGCAGGCGGUUCGGAAAGAAAGAUGUGAAAUCCCAGGGCUUAACCUUGGAACUGCAUUUUUUUUUUACUACCGGGCUAGAGUGUGUCAGAGGGAGGUGGAAUUCCGCGUGUAGCAGUGAAAUGCGUAGAUAUGCGGAGGAACACCGAUGGCGAAGGCAGCCUCCUGGGAUAACACUGACGCUCAUGCACGAAAGUGUGGGGAGCAAACAGGAUUAGAUACCCUGGUAGUCCACGCCCCAAACGAUGUCAACUAGCUGUUGGGGCCUUCGGGCCUUGGUAGCGCAGCUAACGCGUGAAGUUGACCGCCUGGGGAGUACGGUCGCAAGAUUAAAACUCAAAGGAAUUGACGGGGACCCGCACAAGCGGUGGAUGAUGUGGAUUAAUUCGAUGCAACGCGAAAACCUUACCUACCCUUGACAUGUCUGGAAUCCCGAAGAGAUUUGGGAGUGCUCGCAAGAGAACCGGAACACAGGUGCUGCAUGGCUGUCGUCAGCUCGUGUCGUGAGAUGUUGGGUUAAGUCCCGCAACGAGCGCAACCCUUGUCAUUAGUUGCUACGAAAGGGCACUCUAAUGAGACUGCCGGUGACAAACCGGAGGAAGGUGGGGAUGACGUCAAGUCCUCAUGGCCCUUAUGGGUAGGGCUUCACACGUCAUACAAUGGUCGGGACAGAGGGUUGCCAACCCGCGAGGGGGGAGCCAAUCCCAGAAACCCGGUCGUAGUCCGGAUCGCAGUCUGCAACUCGACUGCGUGAAGUCGGAAUCGCUAGUAAUCGCGGAUCAGCAUGUCGCGGUGAAUACGUUCCCGGGUCUUGUACACACCGCCCGUCACACCAUGGGGAGUGGGUUUUACCAGAAGUAGUUAGCCUAACCGCAAGGGCGAUUACCACGGUAGGAUUCAUGACUGGGGUGAAGUCGUAACAAGGUAGCCGUAUCGGAAGGUGCGGCUG